CACACAGGGCAGGAGGACAAGCUGACAAUCCCAGUGCCCUGCUUCCAAUGUGACAUGUUAAGUGAUGAGAUGGGAAUUUGGACUUGGAUUCACCGUUCGUGAAAUGGACCGAGGAACACACCAGGUUUCAGUGUAAUGUACCUUACACGAAUUGCCUGAUUGCCAGACAGGGUUGGCACGCUGAAUUGUUCACUAGAGGUGUAAGAAUAUCACCGGUACAUUAGGGUCCAUUUCCAACGCACGGGUGGCUGUCAGGCAGGAUCUAUACAGCACGAAAUACAAUCAGCGUUGCUGAAAAUGAGCAAGUGAGCUCCAUGUCCGGCUAUAGUUUUUGGAAGCAAGAGCUCCUCAUCCCGAUCCUACACUGAGGCUUCUACCUUUGGUUUCCGUUCAGCGCAAUGAUAGAGUCAGUCACUUGCCAAGCCCAGCCCUUGUAAUUUAAGGAAACGUUCAGCUGAGGCUUCCAAUGACAGUAUUGGCUAAGAAGCCUAAACCCGUAAGAUUGGACAAGGCACCUGUGGGAGAUCACGGAAUCUUUCUCUGAUGAUUACUAUCGUUUAUUCAGAAGUCUCAAGGCGACGAGCUAAAGCCGAUCUCUGAAUACAGAGAUGUGUGUUUCACAUCAGUGUUUUAUUUACACUUACAGCUAAAGCAAUUCAGUGUCUUUGUCUAUAUCUGGCAGCGCGCCUUGGAUCCCCAGCUAAUACAUCUAAAAACCAGUGCCUUCUUGGACAGUGUCUUCCGCAGAAUGGGCUAAUGUUGAUUGACAGUCACAGUUAAAACUGUGUGAAGAGAAGAAAACAUGCAAUUUAAAUUGACACAAUGCAAGAUGUGAAGAUAAAAUGUUGGCCAUGGUUGAAGUGCCCCACACAACAGUUAUCAUCCCAAUUUGAAGCAGACACCACCAGAACUGCAAACAUUACAAAACUGACAAGAAAUGAUGUUGAUUUUAAAAAUUAUCAGCACAGAUACUGGGAGUGUUGGGGAUACAAAGUUAUGAUGAGGAGUUCCUUAAAUGAGAUUGGAAUAUAGGUGUGCAUGUGUGUGUGUGUGUGUUGGGGGAGGGGUGGGGAUGUCGGUGUGGGUUGAGGUGAAAGGUGCAUACUAUGCAUUGGGGAAGCAGGGAUAAUUCUUACAUAUUGCACCUGGUUUGUGUUGACUGCAUAAAUAUAGUUAGCUUGAUCUAUCAGAAGAACAGUAGUGACUUGAUAGGUCAGCUGGAAUUAUUGCUUACUGAGACAUAAUGUUAUGUCAUACAUAAUUUAAAGUAACAAAAUAAACCUGCUUUAUUAUAAUCUGCUAUUAACAAAUGAAAACACCUAUAUUGUCUGUCAAUAGCUUAGCUUUAGCAUCACAUUAUUAGUAGUACCUCUUUGCUUAUGGAGAAUUGGAGUUGAAGCUCCCAUAUUAUCAUGAGUAAUUACAAGUUUAAACAUAAUUGAUUAGAAGAAAACUUGAAACAUCUGUAACCUCAUAGAUGUACAAUUCUUUCAAAAACCAUUUUGCUAUACAAUUGUUCAUCCAAGUAUCUCUUUCAACUUGAGAAAUGCUGAUCAGCAUGUAAACCAAUGAAAAUUCAUAACAAAAGACCUAAAGAAAUGUGGCCAACAAGUCAAUAAAACAAAUAAACUGCUGAUAUACAUUCAGUCUGUCAUCAUUCACUCAGUCAAAAAUAUUGAGAAUGUCUAGAUUUGAAAACCUGGAAGAUUAAUCAGAUAUAAAAGUUGACAACAUUGGUAACUCAUUCCAUAGGUAGUAGCGUGAUGGUUGAUUAUCCAUGUAAUUGUUGAUGAAUGAACUGACUUAAUUUGAAGAAAGGCAUUGGGAGUCAUCACUAAUGUGCUCACCAGUACUUAUCCCUCAACGAACAUCACAUGAAACAGGUUAUUUGCCCUCAAAACAAUACAAUUUUCUGGUGUUUGGUAUGCACAGACUGGCUGCUAUACUUCCUGUACUCAACAAAGACUAUACUUUGAAGAUACUUCCUUGUCUGUAAAUCACUUUGAGAAUCCAAGGUGAUUGUCAGAAAUGCUAUAUAUUACAAACCAUUCAUUCUUUUUACAACUUAACUAUUGUCAGCUUUUA